rnacentral:rRNA from 1 species
AUUGAACGCUGGCGGCAGGCUUAACACAUGCAAGUCGAGCGGAGUGAUGGUGCUUGCACUAUCACUUAGCGGCGGACGGGUGAGUAAUGCUUAGGAAUCUGCCAUUUAGUGGGGGACAACAUUCCGAAAGGAAUGCUAAUACCGCAUACGUCCUACGGGAGAAAGCAGGGGAUCUUCGGACCUUGCGCUAAAUGAUGAGCCUAAGUCGGAUUAGCUAGUUGGUGGGGUAAAGGCCUACCAAGGCGACGAUCUGUAGCGGGUCUGAGAGGAUGAUCCGCCACACUGGGACUGAGACACGGCCCAGACUCCUACGGGAGGCAGCAGUGGGGAAUAUUGGACAAUGGGCGGAAGCCUGAUCCAGCCAUGCCGCGUGUGUGAAGAAGGCCUUUUGGUUGUAAAGCACUUUAAGCGAGGAGGAGGCUCUCCCAGUUAAUACCUAGGAUGAGUGGACGUUACUCGCAGAAUAAGCACCGGCUAACUCUGUGCCAGCAGCAGCCGCCGUAA